CUAUGUUCAGGCCCACCAGAUGAGAAGGAGGUGCAGGAGGCUGUGUCUCACUUUCAUUGUUAGUAACGUGGACAAGGCUCAUGGAGAGCCUUUGAGACUGAAGGAAGAACAGAGGUUACGCACAAUGGAGCUCAGCUGGAUUUCUCUGCAUUCUGGAUUUAUGCUGGAUGGAGUAUACCAGGAACUAGCCUGCUUGUCUGCCCCAUCCUCAGUUUGAUAAUGGACUGUGAUCCACAAAAAGCUACAAAUCUUUAGAAAUCAUUUAUGAAGACUAGAAAAUCCCCAUUUCUCGCAGUGAUGAACCAGGUCUAAGCUUCAUUUAAGAUUGCAUUUCCAUCAAGGACCCGCUGUGCUUGUCAGAGACCAGGCAUAUAACGGAGCGCAGAAGGAGCCAUAAGAAACCAGAGGACAGUGUAUACUCAUUUGAGGGUAUCUGGCUACAGCACGAACUUUCAGAGAAGAUUAAUUGAAUCUGGAAUCUGCCUGUCUUUUAGAGGAAAAGAGCAACUCAAACCUUUCCUCUGUGAUAAAGACUUUGCUGUAACUGGUGUUAUACAUACAAUAUAAAUCACAACUCCACUACACUUUUGUUUUUUUUUUAAAUCCCAUUCCAACAGAAUGUUCCGUAUCCUAGUAAGGGAGCAAAGCAAAUGUCCAGGAAAUUCUGUAGACGUUUUGAUAUUACCCUGUUUUAUAUGGCAAUUUCUGAGUAGAAGGUAGACUUCCAAAUUAUAGAACCUUUAUUUUGUCUGUGUUUGGAAGCAUGUAUUGGUCACUUAUACAAGGGUUUAUGUGAGUGACAACUAAAACUGUGGAUCUGAAUUUCAUGUAGAAUAAUUUGGUACGUUCAUUGCUUUGGGAGGAAUACUGAAUGUCGUAUUGAAUCACGGAGUGAUUUGAUAGCAUACAUGUGUACGUAUAUAUAUCCCUAAUCUGUAGCACAUGAAAUACAGACUUUGGAAUAAAGGUAAAAGACGA
ensembl:lncRNA